rnacentral:rRNA from 1 species
UGGGGAAUAUUGGACAAUGGGCGCAAGCCUGAUCCAGCCAUGCCGCGUGAGUGAUGAAGGCCUUAGGGUUGUAAAGCUCUUUCGCCGGUGAAGAUAAUGACGGUAACCGGAGAAGAAGCCCCGGCUAACUUCGUGCCAGCAGCCGCGGUAAUACGAAGGGGGCUAGCGUUGCUCGGAAUUACUGGGCGUAAAGCGCACGUAGGCGGUUUCUUAAGUCGGGGGUGAAAUCCUGGAGCUCAACUCCAGAACUGCCUUCGAUACUGGGAAACUUGAGUUCGGGAGAGGUGAGUGGAACUGCGAGUGUAGAGGUGAAAUUCGUAGAUAUUCGCAAGAACACCAGUGGCGAAGGCGGCUCACUGGCCCGAUACUGACGCUGAGGUGCGGAAGCGUGGGGAGCAAACA